UCCAGACUCCUACGGGAGGCAGCAGUGGGGAAUAUUGGGCAAUGGAGGCAACUCUUACCCAGCAAUGCCGCGUGAAUGAAGAAGGUCUUCGGAUUGUAAAGUUCUUUAAUUGGGGACGAAAAAAAUGACGGUACCCAAGGAAUAAGCCCCGGCUAACUACGUGCCAGCAGCCGCGGUAAUACGUAGGGGGCACGCGUUGUUCGGAAUGACUGGGCGUAAAGGGCGUGCAGCCGGAGAGACAAGUCAGAUGUGAAAUCCACGGGCUCAACCCGUGAACUGCAUUUGAAACUGUUUCCCUUGAGUGUCGGAGAGGUAAUCGGAAUUCCUUGUGUAGCGGUGAAAUGCGUAGAUAUAAGGAAGAACACCAGUGGCGAAGGCGGAUUACUGGACGAUAACUGACGGUGAGGCGCGAAAGCGUGGGGAGCAAACAGGAUUAGAUACCCUUGUAUU
rnacentral:rRNA from 1 species